rnacentral:rRNA from 1 species
CAUGCUGUGGUGAAUACGUUCCCGGGCCUUGUACACACCGCCCGUCACACCAUGGGAGUCGGUAACACCCAAGUUGGUAGUCUAACCGCAAGGAGGACGCCGCCUAAGGUGGAUUGAUGACUGGGGUGAAGUCGUAACAAGGUAAC